rnacentral:rRNA from 1 species
UAAUACCAGCAGUCCAAGUCGCAAUCACGUUUAUUGGGUCUAAAACAUCCGUAGCUUGCUAUGUAAGUCUCUUGUGAAAUCCUAUAUCUUAAGUAUAGAACUGCAAGAGAUACUGCAAAGCUAGAGACCGGGAGAUGUAAAGAGUACGGUUAGGGUACCGGUAAAAUGGGUUGAUCCUUUCUGGACUAACAACAGCGAAGGCACUUUACAAGAACGGAUCUGACAGUCAGGGAUGAAGGCUAGGGGCGCAAAACGGAUUAGAUACCCGUGUAGUCCUAGCAGUAAACACUGCACACUAAACAUUGGGACCUCUUCGAGAGGUCUCAGUGCUGUAGGGAAGCCGUAGAGUGUGCUACCUGGGAAGUAUAGUCGCAAGGCCG